UACGUAGGGUGCGAGCGUUGUCCGGAAUUACUGGGCGUAAAGAGCUCGUAGGUGGUUUGUCGCGUUGUUCGUGAAAACCGGGGGCUUAACCCUCGGCGUGCGGGCGAUACGGGCAGACUUGAGUACUGCAGGGGAGACUGGAAUUCCUGGUGUAGCGGUGAAAUGCGCAGAUAUCAGGAGGAACACCGGUGGCGAAGGCGGGUCUCUGGGCCGAUACUGACGCUGAGGAGCGAAGCGUGGGGAGCGAACAGG
rnacentral:rRNA from 1 species